GUUUACAGCCAUAUCACCCUGAAUGCGUCUGAUCUCAUCUGAUCUCAGAAGCUAAGCAGGGAUGGACCUGGUUAGUACUUGGAUGAGAGAAAAUAAAUAGUGAAUG
rnacentral:rRNA from 1 species